UCUUAUGGAUGAGCAUAGAAAGUGGUUUCUUGAAAUGGAAUCAGUUCCUAGUGAAGAUACUGUGAA
rnacentral:pre_miRNA from 1 species